rnacentral:rRNA from 1 species
AUACGGAGGGUGCAAGCGUUACUCGGAAUCACUGGGCGUAAAGCGCAUGCAGGCGGUCUAAUAAGUUGGAAGUGAAAGCCUAUGGCUCAACCGUAGAACUGCUUCCAAAACUGUUAGACUAGAGUCUGGGAGGGGAAGAUGGAAUUAGUAGUGUAGGGGUAAAAUCCGUAGAGAUUACUAGGAAUACCAAAAGCGAAGGCGAUCUUCUGGAACAGUACUGACGCUGAGAUGCGAAAGCGUGGGGAGCAAACAGGAUUAGAUACCCUAGUAGUCC